ensembl:lncRNA
CUUCUACUGACAGACAUUCUCGGAGUUGCAUGGUAGCAUGGCUUACAACUAGGAAGCCAGAGGAUGAAGACAUAUUGACAGGCAUUUUUAGAAAUUCCUGUUUAGAUAUUGAGUUACAGCAAUAUUACCAACAUUAGGAAAAGAGGGUGACCUGAAGGAGAGGGAAGUCUCUAAACAUCUGCUUUGGGCCAGACUUCACAAGGAAAUUUCCUCCAAGUGACCGGGCUUGAGUUGUUUCUAGCGUCUUUGCACAUAGCACCACGCGUCUGCCUCACUCGUGGAGGAUGUGGUUUCCAGACUCCUGAUUGUCUUCCCUCUCUGUCUGCACAGCUCGGAGAUGAAGAUUCUCAUCUUACCCGGUGUUUCUGAUUGGCUGCCAGUGACAAAGAGGAGAGCAAGUCAUGCAGAGUGCAGAGGGGAAUGCUACCCGUGGUGUGCCCACGAUGCUGCAGGAGGGAAAGAAAAGAUUGGAAAAGAAUACAGUUCACCAGGCAUGGAGUCAGCUACUUUUUCCCUAGUUAUGUAUCUAAUGCAAAUGUGAUAUUGUUGAUAAAAAGAUAUAGCUUCCCA